AUUCCAGCUCCAAUAGCGUAUAUUAAAGUUGUUGCAGUUAAAAAGCUCGUAGUUGGAUUUGUGGUUUGUGGUGUGUUCCGGCACUCGUGUCCGAGUAACUCGCCGCUGCCAUCCUUGGGUGGAACCUGUGUGGCAUUAGGUUGUCGGGCAGGGGAUGCCCAUCUUUUACUGUGAAAAAAUUAGAGUGUUCAAAGCAGGCUUAUGCCGUUGAAUAUAUUAGCAUGGAAUAAUGAGAUAGGACUUUUUGGCUAUUUUGUUGGUUUGCGCCAAGAGGUAAUGAUUAAUAGGGACAGUUGGGGGUAUUCGUAUUCCAUUGUCAGAGGUGAAAUUCUUGGAUUUUUGGAAGACGAACUACUGCGAAAGCAUUUACCAAGGAUGUUUUC
rnacentral:rRNA from 1 species